GUUGUUACGAUCUGCUGAGGGUAAGCCGUCCUUCGCCUCGAUUUCCCCAAUGGGUUCUCCGGAUUUCUGGAGACUUGUAGGGGUUGUGGGAUUUUUGAUGUGUCGUCUCCGGACGGGCGGUGCAGGGUAGUCGAGCUAGACUUGGUGGAAUUCCGUCGAUAGGAGUUCCGUCGAGUCUGGUCGGCUGUGUGUUGGACGGUGUAGGGUAGGCUGCUUGGACAUGGUCGGUUCGAGGAUCGAUUCGAGGGGCCGGCCUGUCGAUGAUGUGUGAUGUAUGCGGUCUAGGGUAGGCUGGUUUGUCUUGGUUCAAUUUGAUGUCGGCUCCCGUGCAGGCCAGAGUGAGGGGGUCCAGGGUAGGUACAGGGUAGGCAGCUUAGGUUUGGUCGAUCUGGAGGUCGAUUCUCCGGCUGGCGGAUCUGACACUGUCGAAACGAGAUGCGAGCGGUGUAGGGUAGGCUAGUUUCGUCCUCGCCAGGUUGCGAUUUGGACGAGAUGUGUGGUUUAGGGUAGGCUCUAGGGUAAGUAGAAUUCGAGUUUCGUCGCCGACAGUUUUCUGUGGGUGUAUGGUAGGUACAGGGUAGGCAAAUCUCUCUCCGGCCAGUACUUGUCUGGUGGUCGUGAGUCGAUUUUUUUGUUUUGCCAUACUAUUGAAUUUUGCGGAAAUUCAAAAGUGGCUCGGGAGUCCCGCCUGGCGUGCGUCCGACUCGAACAUCGUCGGUGUACAUAUGAGAGGGAGUAAUCCGGCCCGGCCGGGGCCCAUCGCGAGCUGCCGGGUAGGUAAAAGUAAAAAAGUUGUUAAGAGGCGCGGUGUCGGCGUGCUUGUAUUUGCGGGAGAGAAUUAUCUGGGGGUGCUGGGUAGCCGGGAAGACUUGGACGGAUCUGGCCCGGGAAUGGGUCUGGGCCUGGAUUCUGGUGUGGUGUAGGGUAGGCGUAGGUAGAUGAGUGGUCUAGGGUAGAUACAGGGUAGCCAGACGUCUGGUAUAUAGUAUGGGGGUGUAGGGUAGGUCUGGACACCGUUUUCCACUUCGCCCUUCCCUUUAGUCGAGGGAGGACGAUCUUGGCUGGGACGGAGGUGUAGGGUAAGCUUAAUUUACGAUUACAUGAUCUGUGUCACUCUAGGGUAGGUGAAAAUCCCAUAUAUAUCUGAUCACAUUUGGUGAAGAGGUGGUUUGGCUGGUGAGAUGGACAAAAGUGCAAUGUAGAAUUAUAUGUGAUUUUGCAAAAGUGGGUGUGAAAUUGGAAAGUCGGUUUUCCCGCACAGAUGAGAGCACGUUUGAGGUGCCAUGAGAUGCACCUCUCCGAGACGACCUCAACGGUACCACCCAUGUGUUGGUCGGGCUCCUGUGCGGCCGUCCAGGGCGGGAUAAGUAGAGAGUGUGGUGGUGUAGGGUAGGUGACCAGGUCCAGGGUAGGUUCGCCAAAUCCGUCAAUCCGGCUUGAAUCGAAGGACAGGUCUAGGGUAGGCCAGAGUCGGGUCUAGGGUAGGCAACCCUCACCCUCGAAGUGGUCUACCCGGUAGCCAACUUCAAUCGCCUCUCACGGCCGCCACGGACCUCGCAUGACGACGGGACCACCACCAUCGGAUUCGCCUUGGUCGAAAUAGCUGGUAUAUGCACUUUUGAAAAAAUGCGUGCAAAAUGGUUUUGUGGUUUGGUGGCCGUGAGUCGAUUUUUUUGUUUUCCCAUACAAAUGAAUUUUGCGGAAAAUAAAAAGUGGCCCACGAGGCAGUCCUGGCGUGCGGCCCACUAAAACGGUCUCGGAGGGU
rnacentral:misc_RNA from 1 species